GACGAACGCUGGCGGCGUGCCUAAUACAUGCAAGUUGAGCGCUGAAGGUUGGUACUUGUACCCACUGGAUGAGCAGCGUACGGGUGAGUAACGCGUGGGGAAUCUGCCUUUGAGCGGGGGACAACAUUUGGAAACGAAUGCUAAUACCGCAUAAAAACUUUAAACACAAGUUUUAAGUUUGAAAGAUGCAAUUGCAUCACUCAAAGAUGAUCCCGCGUUGUAUUAGCUAGUUGGUGAGGUAAAGGCUCACCAAGGCGAUGAUACAUAGCCGACCUGAGAGGGUGAUCGGCCAAAUUGGGACUGAGACACGGCCCAAACUACUACGGGAGGCAGCAGUAGGGAAUCUUCGGCAAUGGACGAAAGUCUGACCGAGCAACGCCGCGUGAGUGAAGAAGGUUUUCGGAUCGUAAAACUCUGUUGGUAGAGAAGAACGUUGGUGAGAGUGGAAAGCUCAUCAAGUGACGGUAACUACCCAGAAAGGGACGGCUAACUACGUG
rnacentral:rRNA from 1 species